CCUACGGGUGGCAGCAGUGGGGGAUAUUGCACAAUGGGGGGAACCCUGAUGCAGCGACGCCGCGUGGGUGAAGAAGCGCCUCGGUGCGUAAAGCCCUGUCAGCAGGGAAGAAAAUGACGGUACCUGCAGAAGAAGCCCCGGCUAACUACGUGCCAGCAGCCGCGGGAAUACAUAGGGGGCAAGCGUUAUCCGGAUUUACGGGGUGGAAAGGGGGCGGAGACGGCGAUGCAAGCCAGGAGUGAAAGCCCGGGGCCCAACCCCGGGACUGCUCUUGGAACUGCGUGGCUGGAGUGCAGGAGGGGCAGGCGGAAUUCCUGGUGUAGCGGUGAAAUGCGUAGAUAUCAGGAGGAACACCGGUGGCGAAGGCGGCCUGCUGGACUGCAACUGACGUUGAGGCCCGAAAGCGUGGGGAGCAAACAGGAUUAGAUACCCUAGUAGUC
rnacentral:rRNA from 1 species